rnacentral:tRNA from 2 species
GGAAGGGUACCGAAGUGGUCAUAACGGCGCCGAUUCGAAAUCGGAUGGUCGGGUUAUACCGACACGUGGGUUCGACUCCCACCCCUUCCG